CCCUUCUCAGGAUUGCACCUGGAGCGUUUCCAGUACUCUACCAGUCUCGACUGCAGGAGGGAGAGUCAAGCAGAGGCAUACCUAUUCCAUUCCUAGCUUGGGCAACGGCUAUCGAGUGGAAGGCAAUCUGCUACAUGU